UUCAGCCUCAACAUGAACAUGGGUUUCAUUAGGGAGUUACAGAGACUCUCUGGUGGUGGUGAUGGUGGUGUGAUUUUCAGCCCAACUUUUGAUCUGGAAACUUCUAUCUUUUCUCCCCACCUUCCUCCAGAUUUGAGGUUGAAAGGAGGAGAGGGAAGAGAAGGGAGGAGAGAGAAUCAAAGAACCGGCCCUCGGCUCUCCUGUGUCCCAUCUCUCUUCCUGCUUCAAGGAUACAUAGGGAAGAAUUGGACCUGAAUGAAGGAUACCUAAGACACAGGGCCCAAGAAGAAGGACGAGAGAAUCACUGCAUAAGAGAAUCAAGGUGGGGAAGAGAUCUAAGGACAUUCUACCAGGGAAUUUCAAUACCUGAAGACAGGUGUCUAUGAUAAGGAGAAAUUGGAAAAUGUGUGUAAUGAAAUUUGAG
rnacentral:lncRNA from 1 species